rnacentral:tRNA from 1 species
UGUAGCUCAGUCAGUAGAGCAUGGCGCUUGUAAUGCUAGGUAAGUGGGUUCGAUUCCCGGACCA